UUAAGUUCAGCGGGUAUUCCUACCUGAUCCGAGGUCAACCUUGAGAAGUUGGGGUUGCUGGUCGCCAGCCGCCGGGACCCGUAGCGAGGUGAGUACUACGCUCGGGACCCAACGGUGCCGCCACUAAAUUUAAGGCCUGCCAUCGCUGCACGGCCUAAUACCAAGCAGAGCUUGAAUGGUGUAUAUGACGCUCGGACAGG
rnacentral:misc_RNA from 1 species